GGUUACGGCGAACGGCUGAAGGAAGAAGCUAAUGGCGGGAGAAGAGGUUGCUGGUCCGGCGGGCCCUAAGGCUCUCCGUUUCCUCUAUUUCGCCAGCGCCGGAUUCAUUUUCACCAUCGCGAUAAACAAGUGGCGGGAGAUCGAACGCAAUUCGCUGUUGAAACAACAGCAGAAGCAGCGGUCGAAUCAUCAAUUAUCGGAAGCUCGUAAUGAUGCGGUGCAGAAAGUCGUCGAGUGAUUACAGGGGUUCUUUUCAAGGAUCUUAAGAUGCUUUCAGCUCAACAGUUAAAGUCCCUCAUUUUCCACCAGAUUAUCUAUGUUUUUUAGCGGUGCUGCUAGGUGGAUUUGAGCCAGUACCAAGGAAAUGGUGCCUCUGUCAAUAGUACUGUUUCUUCUUCCUUCAUCCCUAAUCCAGCCAUCUCUCUGUCUCUAAUCUCUAUUAUAUGUACAAGUUCUUUAUGCUCUGAAGGAAACUUCAUUUUCAACUUGUACUACCAAAAGCGUAACUAGAAUAAAUUUCUCCUUUUC
rnacentral:misc_RNA from 1 species